GCCCGAAAUCCGGGAUCUUAAUGCUGAGAGCUGAUGACGGUGAGUCCACGGACUCCGAAGUAGUUGAUGCCAUGCUUCCAAGAAAAGCCUCUAAGCUUCAGGUAACAUGCGACCGUACCCCAAACCGACACAGGUGGUCAGGUAGAGAAUACCAAGGCGCUUGAGAGAACUCGGGUGAAGGAACUAGGCAAAUUGGCACCGUAACUUCGGGAGAAGGUGCGCCGAUGUUGGUGAAGGACUUGCUCCGUAAGCUGACGUCGGUCGAAGAUACCAGGCCGCUGCAACUGUUUAUUAAAAACACAGCACUCUGCAAACACGAAAGUGGACGUAUAGGGUGUGACGCCUGCCCGGUGCCGGAAGGUUAAUUGAUGGGGUUAGCGCAAGCGAAGCUCUUGAUCGAAGCCCCGGUAAACGGCGGCCGUAACUAUAACGGUCCUAAGGUAGCGAAAUUCCUUGUCGGGUAAGUUCCGACCUGCACGAAUGGCGUAAUGAUGGCGGCACUGUCUCCACCCGAGACUCAGUGAAAUUGAAAUCGCUGUGAAGAUGCAGCGUUCCCGCGGCUAGACGGAAAGACCCCGUGAACCUUUACUAUAGCUUCGCAGUGGACUUUGAACUUACUUGUGUAGGAUAGCUGGGAGGCUUUGAAGCGAGGACGCCAGUUCUUGUGGAGCCAAUCUUGAAAUACCAGCCUGGUGAGUUUGAGGUUCUAACUCUGGUCCGUAAUCCGGAUCGAGGACACUGCGUGGUGGGUAGUUUGACUGGGGCGGUCUCCUCCCAAAGAGUAACGGAGGAGCACGAAGGUUGGCUAAGCAUGGUCGGAAAUCAUGCGGUUAGUGUAAUGGCACAAGCCAGCUUGACUGCGAGACAGACACGUCGAGCAGGUACGAAAGUAGGUCAUAGUGAUCCGGUGGUUCUGUAUGGAAGGGCCAUCGCUCAACGGAUAAAAGGUACUCCGGGGAUAACAGGCUGAUACCGCCCAAGAGUUCACAUCGACGGCGGUGUUUGGCACCUCGAUGUCGGCUCAUCACAUCCUGGGGCUGAAGCCGGUCCCAAGGGUAUGGCUGUUCGCCAUUUAAAGUGGUACGCGAGCUGGGUUUAGAACGUCGUGAGACAGUUCGGUCCCUAUCUGCCGUGGGCGUUUGAGAUUUGAGAAGAGUUGCUCCUAGUACGAGAGGACCGGAGUGAACGAACCUCUGGUGUUCCGGUUGUCACGCCAGUGGCAUUGCCGGGUAGCUAUGUUCGGACGGGAUAAACGCUGAAAGCAUCUAAGCGUGAAGCCUCCUUCAAGAUGAGAUCUCACUGGGACCUUGAGUCCCCUGAAGGGCCGUUGAAGACUACAACGUUGAUAGGCUGGGUGUGGAAGCGUUGUGAGGCGUUAGGCUA
rnacentral:rRNA from 1 species